rnacentral:rRNA from 1 species
AUUGAACGCUGGCGGCAGGCCUAACACAUGCAAGUCGAACGGUAACAGGAAGAAGCUUGCUUCUUUGCUGACGAGUGGCGGACGGGUGAGUAAUGUCUGGGAAACUGCCUGAUGGAGGGGGAUAACUACUGGAAACGGUAGCUAAUACCGCAUAACGUCGCAAGACCAAAAAGGGGGACCUUCGGGCCUCUUGCCAUCGGAUGUGCCCAGAUGGGAUUAGCUAGUAGGUGGGGUAACGGCUCACCUAGGCGACGAUCCCUAGCUGGUCUGAGAGGAUGACCAGCCACACUGGAACUGAGACACGGUCCAGACUCCUACGGGAGGCAGCAGUGGGAAUAUUGCACAAUGGGCGCAAGCCUGAUGCAGCCAUGCCGCGUGUAUGAAGAAGGCCUUCGGGUUGUAAAGUACUUUCAGCGGGGAGGAAGGGAGUAAAGUUAAUACCUUUGCUCAUGGACGUUACCCGCAGAAGAAGCACCGGCUAACUCCGU